rnacentral:rRNA from 1 species
UACGUAGGUGGCGAGCGUUGUCCGGAAUCACUGGGCGUAAAGGGCGCGUAGGCGGCUAUUCAAGUCGCAUGUGAAAUUCCAGGGCUUAACCUUGGGGGGUCAUGCGAAACUGAGUGGCUUGAGUGCAGUAGAGGAAAGCGGAAUUCCUGGUGUAGCGGUAAAAUGCGUAGAGAUCAGGAGGAACACCGGUGGCGAAGGCGGCUUUCUGGGCUGCAACUGACGCUGAGGCGCGAAAGCGUGGGGAGCAAACAGG